CAGCCGCCACGGUAAUACGUAGGUGGCAAGCGUUGUCCGGAAUUACUGGGCGUAAAGCGUGCGCAGGCGGUUAUAUAAGUCAGAUGUGAAAUCCCCGGGCUCAACCUGGGAACUGCAUUUGAGACUGUAUGGCUAGAGUGUGUCAGAGGGGGGUAGAAUUCCACGUGUAGCAGUGAAAUGCGUAGAGAUGUGGAGGAAUACCGAUGGCGAAGGCAGCCCCCUGGGCCAAUACUGACGCUCAUGCACGAAAGCGUGGGGAGCAAACAGGAUUAGAUACCCGCGUAGUCCCUGUCUCUUAUAC
rnacentral:rRNA from 1 species